rnacentral:rRNA from 1 species
UACAGAGGGGGCAAGCGUUAUUCGGAAUUAUUGGGCGUAAAGGGCGCGUAGGCGGCUUUUCAAGUGACGGGUGAAAUCCCUCGGCUUAACCGAGGAACUGCCUGUCAGACUGGAAGGCUUGGGACCGGGAGAGGUGAGUGGAAUUCCCAGUGUAGCGGUGAAAUGCGUAGAUAUCUGGAGGAACACCGGUGGCGAAGGCGGCAUCCUGGACCGACAUUGACGCUGAGGCGCGAAAGCCAGGGGAGCAAACGGG